ensembl:lncRNA
AUUGGCAAGACUGCUCUUUUCAGGCUAUGGUUCCCCGUCAGGCUGAUGUGAAAUAUGCAGUCAUAGGAGAGACCUCUCCUCAUAGGAGAAACCAAUUUAUUCUCUACUCCUUGGCUUUCUCAAACCAUCAUGUUAUUCCCGUGCUUAAAAUUGUUUACUGCUUUCAAGAAAAAGGUCAACAUGAUUAACACGGCCUGUGAGCAGUGUGAUCAUAUAAUUAUCCAACUGGGGACACUUUUGAGAGCUAAAGGGAGUGCUAUUAAUAGGAGCAUCAUAACUAUGAGACUUUGCUGGUUCUGGCCCCUACGUUGCCUAGCUCCACGUUCUCCUCCACUCGUCUUGCUUGGGGGCCAUGCUUCUUCCUGCUGCAGGGCCUUUGCACAUGCUGAUCUCUCUGACUGGAACACCCCGCUGCCCCAAGUACCCCCAACUCUGCCUAGCUAAUGCUUCCCCAUCCUUCAUUCUGAGCUCAACAUCACUACUUAAGGAAGCCUCCUUAGUUCCCUGGGUGAGGCUGAUAUGCUCUCAAAGCAGCAUGUACCUUUUCUUUGUAGCACUUCCCAUUUUGUAACUCUACCUUUUUGCUUUAUUUGGGUCAUUUUUGGAUUCAGGUUUGUCUCCCUGACUGGCUGUAGGCUCCCCCAGGGCAGGGACUGUAUCUGUGGUUCCAAUGUUUAUGUGCUUGGCACACAGUCAAGGUCCCCAAAAUAUUUAUUAAAUAAAUAAGUGAAUGAAUUCUAACCAUCUUGACUUCUUAAAAUGAAGCAUCCUUUCCACUGGUUAGAGUUGAAGAGACCAGGGUUCAUAUAACACGCCCUUGGUCACAGUGGUAAAACUGAUAUUCAGCGCCAGGUCUGUUGACUGAGAGCCCAUGCACUUUCCACUAUACCGACUGCCUUUCUCUGCAGCCUGCAGAAACCACAGGCAAAAGGACUUAAAGAAAACGCUCUGAUCUGUGGACUUCCCUUAUUGCUGCAUCUCUGAUAACAUGCCCCAAUUCUUGACACUACCAAGGGAAAUGAGAAAUCUGAGUAUUUUAGAUUGGAACCAAACUUAGAGAAAUUGUCUGGAAAUCAUGGUGCCUGUUGCCUCCGAAUCACCAAGCAUCAGAGCGAGGCCUCCCACUUAAAGGGGAGCUGGAUAGAGACGAGCAAUCAGCCACUAUGUCUGGAUCCGGAAAUCGCUGCUUGUGCAUUGAAAGUGGAUGGCAGUCGUGCACACACACCGUAGAUAAUCCUGAAACUCUACUACUGAGGUUGCUGCUGGGAUUCCCAGUAUUCUCUCCACAUCCUUGAAUGAUUCUUUUGCUAAUAAUUUACCUAUUAGCAUCCCUUUGGCAUCCCUUUGAAUUGGUCCUCUAUGGAACACACUUCGGGAAACUGCACACAUGUUGAUGUGACUGCUGGAAGGGAUCUUUCCUCCUCUUUUGUCGAGUGAUCUUCCUCUGCCUUCAAAAUUCACACUCUUCAGUGUUUUAGAGUUUUUACAGGAGGCCACUUAGCAGCUAUAAAUACAGUCCUAUCAAGAUGCCAUUUGGAGGCGGAAGCUCCAGUAUUGCUGCCGUUGUUGAGACUUUGAACCCUGCGGGCUUAUGUGCUGGAUUCAGAGUUGAAAUGAGACAUGUGAAUGUUCUGGGCAGGCUGAAAAUUUGGCAGCCCUAUAAGUUGAGUUUUUAAGCUUUUUAAGUAUUUCUGUAGAGGAGAGGUGAACACUGCAGGGGAGAAGCAUAGAAGAAAGGCACUGGAAUCAGGGCUCAUCCUAUUCUUUUUAUUUCCAAGCAAUUUAAUGCUGUCCCCAAACUCUUAUACACUAUUCAGCAAAUCAGAAAGUCUGAAGUUAACCUGAUGCCCCUCUUUAGAAAAUGGGGCCUGAAGGAUGCCUCUCGGGAGGUCUAAUACCCCAUCCCAAUACUUGCCUUAUCCAAGUAUUUCUUUAAGUUUCAUGGUUCACUCUUCCUGAGAAAAUUUCUGGCAAAUACAAUGUUCUCCAACUCAUUCCAUUAGCAGCAAAGAGUGAUUGCUCCCUGAUAUGUUGACUCCCCAUACAGUAGCCUGGCUGGCAGUCUCUUAAUCUGACUCUGAUUGAAUUUGGGGAAUGGAGAGACAUGAUCUUGGCACCUAAAUAUGUACUCCCUAUUUAUUCUUUGUUUUAGGUGCCAAUAUUGACCUCCAUUUUCAUUUAAAAAUAAUUACCGACAGUAAUACUUGUAUUGAGCUAUAAGAUUUGUGUACUUGUUGAACUUCUUAAUUUUUUUGGUGAGGAAGAUUGGUCCUGAGCUAACAUCUGUGCCAAUCUUCCUCUAUUUUAGAUGUGGGAUGCUGCCAGAGCGUGUUUGUUGAGCGGUGUGUAGGUCCAUGCCCAGGAAGUGAACCUACAAACCCCAGGUCACCAAAGCAGAGUACAGGAACAUAACUACUAUGCCACCGGCUGGGCCCCUGUACUUGUUAUACUUUGGUAAAAUAAUUACUUACUGUCCCUUAAAACUUAGACCACCCACAGACAGAAUGGAUGGCUGAUUAGGGGAUAAAAUUUGAGGGGAAAUAGAAAACUCUACCUGGUUAAAAUAUGUUUUCUACUGACAUUACCACGAGUUUUUAACGUAUUUAACUAAAAAAGAAAUAUAAAUAAUACUCAUCAUUGGGUAAAAGGAGAAAAUACAAAUAAGCAAAAAUAACAAAAAUUAAAAUAAU